rnacentral:rRNA from 1 species
UACAUGGGGUGCAAACGUUGCUCGGAAUUAUUGGGCGUAAAGCGCACGUAGGCGGUUCGUUAAGUCGGAUGUGAAAGCCCUCGGCUCAACUGAGGAAGUGCACCCGAAACUGGCGAGCUUGAGUACGAAAGAGGAUCGCGGAAUUCCCGGUGUAGAGGUGAAAUUCGUAGAUAUCGGGAGGAACACCUGUGGUGUAGACGGCUAUCUGGACGGCGACUGACGCUGAAGACACGAAAGCGUGGGUAGCAAACAGG